UGCUUAUCAAGAAAGACGGAGGGACCGGCCCUGUGAAGUCUUAGCAACCCUGAACCUACGGGCAGCAGGGUGCUAAUUCCGGUUCUGAGCUCUCUAGGGCUCAGAUGCAGAUGAGCG
rnacentral:ncRNA from 2 species